rnacentral:lncRNA from 1 species
AAAUAGAGAAUGCAAGUUGAACAUGGAAAUAGAGAAUGCAAAUUCAAUAUGAAAAUGAAGAAUGCAAGUUGAGCAUGAAAAUAUAGAAUGUAACUUGAGCGUCAAAAUGGAGAAUGCAAGUUGAGCAUGAAAAUGAAGAAUGUAAGUUAAGCAUAGAAAUAGAGAGUGCAAAUUGAGCUUAGAAAUAGAGCAUGUAAGUUGAGCAUAGAAAUGGAGAAUGUAAGUUAAGCAUGAAAAUAAAGAUUGCAAGU